rfam:Candidatus Schekmanbacteria bacterium RIFCSPLOWO2_12_FTLL_38_15 rifcsplowo2_12_scaffold_735, whole genome shotgun sequence.
UUUAGAUUUCUGUCUCCGAACCAUUUCGCCUAAAUCUUGAAAUAAAAGAUAUGGGGAAUGGUCGCUAUUAGGGUAUUCUGAGAAAUCAGAAUGCCUCCCGUCAGGAAAGGAGAAAGAUUAAAAAAAAU